UGGGGGAUAUUGGACAAUGGGGGGAACCCUGAUCCAGCGACGCCGCGUGAGUGAAGAAGUAUCUCGGUAUGUAAAGCUCUGUCAGCAGGGAAGAAAGAAAUGACGGUACCUGACCAAGAAGCCCCGGCUAACUACGUGCC
rnacentral:rRNA from 1 species